UACGAAGGGGGCUAGCGUUGCUCGGAAUCACUGGGCGUAAAGGGUGCGUAGGCGGGUCUUUAAGUCAGGGGUGAAAUCCUGGAGCUCAACUCCAGAACUGCCUUUGAUACUGAGGAUCUUGAGUCCGGGAGAGGUGAGUGGAACUGCGAGUGUAGAGGUGAAAUUCGUAGAUAUUCGCAAGAACACCAGUGGCGAAGGCGGCUCACUGGCCCGGUAGUGACGCUGAGGCACGAAAGCGUGGGGAGCAAACAGG
rnacentral:rRNA from 1 species